rnacentral:lncRNA from 1 species
UGGCUUCUGGACUCUUCUAGAUUGAGGAAAAUUGCGCGGCACGUAAUUAUCUCGUUGUAAACAUGACAUGUGAGCCUUCUCUCCAUAUUCUCUGAUAACCCCCUGCAGAAAUAGAUAAACACCAAAGCUCGUGGAAUUCUGUCAGAUAAAACCCUAAUUCUAGAUGUUUGUUUCAUAUCGAUCCUUUUUCAUGUUUAUUUGAUUAUUAAUUUUAGUACUUA